AUGUUUAUGCUGACUAUCCCAAUCAGACAAACCAGACAUCCAGCUAUCCAAACCAGCUAUCCAAACCAGACAUCCAGCUAUCCAAACCAGACAUCCAGCUAUCCAAACCAGACAUCCAGCUAUCCAAACCAGACAUCCAGCUAUCCAAACCAGACAUCCAGCUACAGGUCAUCAUGGGAGAACUGUCUUCUGUUAAUUUACAGUGUUCUGAAUGUUAUUCUGGUGGUUAUGAUCCUGGUGCUAAUCUUGACCUUGCCAUGUCAGAACAGGAACUAUCCUUCAAAACUAACACCAAGACGCCGAAUAGACCAGAGGUGCUGGUUGCCGGUUUGUGUGAUCCUGUUGAUUGGACCCCAAGUCUCUUCGCAGGUCAAAGUUGAAGGCUUCAAGGGAGAUAAUGUUAUUUUGCCUUGCACAUACAUUGAGAAGGCGCUUAAAAAUGUCACCAUUUUUGGGCAAACCACAGAUGAUGUGACUGUCUACAGUAUUAUUGAUGGAAAAGCAGAUUUGGCCAAGCAAUAAUCUCAGUUCAUCAACAGAACCAGUAUGUUCUCUGAGUGGACAAAUGGCAACUUCUCUCUCCUACUGAUUGAUCUCAAUGGCACAGAUAGUGGGAGUUAUUCAUGUUUCAUACCAACAGAGGACAUUCUUCGUCAAGUGGAACUUUCUGUUCAAGAGAAACCAACUCCUGAGCCUAAACUAACUCCUGAGCCUAAACUAACUCCUGAGCCUAAACUAACUCCUGAGCCUAAACCAACUCCUGAGCCUAAACCAACUCCUGAGCCUAAACCAACUCCUGAGCCUAAACCAACUCCUGAGCCUACAAAUAGCAGCAGCGUGAGCCUCAGAGGACAGAACCUCAGCCCCUUCCUGUUUCUCCUCCUCAGUCAAAUGCUCUACCUUCUUUGACCCACAGCAUAGAAAUUGGUCAUUGUGCCAUUUUAUGUGACAUUGUUUUGCAAUUUCUGUGUGUUCAAUCGUCUGAAAUAUAUUUUCUCUCUAUAUAUAUGACACUGCAAAUAUAGGCUACCACUUGCUAGACGCGAUGAGUAAAUGCAUAACACUUUUUUAAACCUGGGCAAUCUGUGAAAUCAAAAUAGUAAAUACAUUUGAAAUGGGUUUGAAAUAGGUUUGAAAUAGGAUUGUGUAGUGUCACUCCUGUCAAUACAGCUUCAAUUACAAGGCUAUUCAAGUAUUAUACAGCCAAUUGACUGUCCUUUUGGUGAGAACGGGAGAUUGAACAUAAUCGUGUGGUGUUUUGUUUUGUUUCAAUUAGCUUUUUCUUUUACUAAGACAUUUUCUUUAACUUAAAGUAAAUGUUCACUUCCUCAAUACUCUUGAAUAAAGUUUGUUGCUAUUCCUUUUUGCAAACUAUAGUUUGAUCAUGUGGUUGUACACUCCGUUCAGUCUCAAGGUCUCAUCACUCACUGCUCAC